GCAUUCGGAGAGGAUGAGAUGAUGUGAGGUUAUUUGGGUCCCGGGGAAAGAUCUAGUCCCUCUAAUCCCCGGGGUCUCCACCAGUGGGAGUGAGUGUACAAGAGGAUAAAAAGGCCAAGAGAACCCCAAUUAGGUUUCAGAGCGAAUAGGACAGCGUCUCGCCGGUGUUCUCAUCGCCCACCUUGUACAGCCUGGAGGCAGAGGUAGGACAGCGACGACUAAUGAAGUGUCUGUUCUAGAUCAAUGUGGUGACAAAUGUUCUAGGACAACUUGGAUGGGUUUGGGUGCCCAGUUCUGAGGUCAGUCGCCAGUGAGGCGCUGUUGUAGGGGUUUUUUCGGACGUGAUCACCAUGUAAACGAGCACACGGUAAGUAAAGCCGGGGACCUUCCGGAAUGCGGGUAGACUUCCUCCAAGCCUCUGCAAGGCUCAAGAGCAAAACUGAGGUCCAGGUACCCUGAUGAGAAACUGUUCUGCCUCCAGAUGGUCUUCAGACUCAAGACUCCAUCCGCUCUUCCGUGGGUCUGCAGACUGCCUGCCCGCCUUGCAGAUUUGGGACUUGCCAGCCCCCACAAGCACGUGAGUAUAUAAAUAGGCAAUGUGCAUCCUAUUGGUUCUAUUUCUGUGGAAAACCCUGAGUGAUACAGUGGGUAAGUCUAAAGGGGCACCCUGAGCCCGCAUUGCCGGCCCGUCCUGCCCAGCAGUUCCUGGAUAGAGACCUGCAGCACAUCUGAAACGAGGAGUCGGGAAGACGGGGCUGCGGAAGACAGGAACUUCGCGACCAAAAAUGAAAACUAUACAAAACCAGGCUUGGCUGAUGUAUGUGAAGAUAGAGUAAAUAAAACACAGAACGAUGUAUCUAUCUGCUUGUUUCUGGGAACUUGAUGAAGUCCCCAACAGAGAUGAGCCCUCAGUCCUGGGAAGGAG